UCUACGUCUUGUUGCCUCUUCUCGGCAUCCAGUGUUAGAUGGAUAAGUGGACAGGUCGUUUAGUCUUUUCCAAGACAACAACACGACAUUUUAUAUGUUUUUAUUUCUUGAUGUAUAUAGCGGAUACGACGUGUACACCUGUGGCGUGAUGUACGUGGAGUCCCUUGGGAAAUAGUUGGGACAUUCCACCCCAUUUCUGCUGGAGUUAUCCUCUGGACUUGAUGAGAACCACCGGUCAUCAGGGGCACCUGCGUGGCCGACUUCGAGUCAUCGUAGUGCGUGGAUUCUCCUGGAUGCAGAUCCCUGAUGGCUGAUCGGGCAGCUUACGUGAUAACUGGCGUGACCCGGAAAUAAACACGUCCAUCUAAGACUGAAAGGUCACGGGCCUGAGAUGAGAAGCCCAGACUUCUGCUGAGACAGUCUCUCAAACAUAUCAUGGGUCAUUCCCAGAGGCUUCCUACCAGUCAGAUGUGCCCUGAACAUCUUCCCAGAUGGUCAUCCUGACCAGACGCCCGAGCCACCUCAUCUGGCUCCUCUCAAUGUGGAGGAGCAGUGUCUCUAGUAAAGAGAUGGUCCCGGAUAACAGCGCUUCUCACCUUGUCUCUAAGGGAGAGCCAAGCCACCCUACGCAGAAACCCCAUUUCAGCUGCUUGUACCUAAGAUCUUGUCCAUUCAGUCACUACCGACUUGACCAGUAAAUGGAGAGCCUCGCCUUUUGAGUCAGCUCCCGCUUUACCGCUACAGAGUGGUGCAGAGUCUGCAUCACUGCUGACGCCGCACCAAUCCGCCUGUCCAUCUCGUGUUUCGUCGUUGCCUCACUCGUGAAUAAGCCCCCAAGGUACUUAAAAAAAGGUGCCGGAUCUACACCCUUUUCUUGGCAAGAACCUUGGACUCUGACUUGGUGGGGCUGAUAUGGCCACAGAUUUCAUUCUAAAUCAACAUUAUUUUUGUUUCAAUUCUUAUUUUAGUGUACAAAAAGCCUCUCUGCUAAUAAAUACCAGGUACCCUCUAGAGUUGAACAAAUAAACCACAGCUGCAAUAUGAGGACAAACUGCUUGCUAAAUGUGUAACAGAAAGGCGGACACAAAAUGAAAGACAGAUAAAAAAGGCUAUUUAACUGGUAACCAUUGGAAGAUAUGCAUACUACUGUAAUGAACAAACUGACCUAAAAAAAGAAUAAAUACCACCUGAUGCAAAUCCUCUCUCUUUGCACUGCAAGGCCAAACAAUGUGUCUGUAGUUAAGACUCGCACAGCCCACACAGCAAGCACACAUGUAACAAAACACUAUUUACAGAAAAAGGCUACAGAAAUAAAAAUGGUUCCCUCGAUGAACUGCAGCUCUCACGGCAUAGAUGACAUUAAACACAAGUGUUUAUGUGCUUCCAGGAAAUGAAGAAUGUUCUCUACAAUGCUGUGGCGUGCACAAUGUUUGAAUGUUAUGUUAGGAUAAAUGAAUGGCUAAAAGCGUCUAGUGAGUAUACUUAGAUGAACUGAGAGAAGAUAGCAUGUGCAUGAGAACACAACAGAUGGCAGGACUGCAUGGUCAUUUUUUAAAAGCUGAUUUGACACUACCAUGAUAUGUUUUCACUAGAUAUGUGAUAUGAGGCGUUGGAAAUGCUGACAUCAUGCACACAACUUACUCACCAUACUAUGCGAGGCAGUACUUUGAGAUGGGAUAUCUACGGCUCUAACCAAGGCCUGUA